rnacentral:rRNA from 1 species
GUGAGGAACCUGCCUUGGAGAGGGGAAUAACACUCCGAAAGGAGUGCUAAUACCGCAUGAUGCAGUUGGGUCGCAUGGCUCUGACUGCCAAAGAUUUAUCGCUCUGAGAUGGCCUCGCGUCUGAUUAGCUAGUUGGUGAGGUAAUGGCCCACCAAGGCAACGAUCGGUAGCCGGACUGAGAGGUUGAACGGCCACAUUGGGACUGAGACACGGCCCAGACUCCUACGGGAGGCAGCAUG